rnacentral:rRNA from 1 species
UCAGGGAAACUUGAGCUAAUACCGGAUACGCCCUUAUGGGGAAAGGGUUUACUGCCGAAGGAUCGGCCCGCGUCUGAUUAGCUUGUUGGUGGGGUAACGGCCUACCAAGGCGACGAUCAGUAGCUGGUCUGAGAGGAUGAUCAGCCACACUGGGACUGAGACACGGCCCAGACUCCUACGGGAGGCAGCAGUGGGGAAUAUUGGACAAUGGGCGCAAGCCUGAUCCAGCCAUGCCGCGUGAGUGAUGAAGGCCUUAGGGUUGUAAAGCUCUUUUGUCCGGGACGAUAAUGACGGUACCGGAAGAAUAAGCCCCGGCUAACUUCGUGC